GGGCUCUUGAACGUGUCAAGUGCUUGACCAAAGUUUGGAACGAGGUCCUUUGAUCAAAUUCUGUCUUCAGCAUUCGUCUUUGAUUUCUUUACUUCUUUUAGUUAGUUACUUCCUUAGUUUGUUCUGUACACUAUACUGUUUUUUAGUGAUUUUUUUGUUGCCUUCGGCUUUUAAGGAGGCUUCAGCUGCCUUCAUCUUGUACGCUUAGUUCAUUUUCCUUAAUGAAUAAAGCAGGUAGCUUGCUAUCUAUUUCUCAAAAAAAAUAUUCUCUGA
rnacentral:lncRNA from 1 species